GACGAACGCUGGCGGCGUGCUUAACACAUGCAAGUCGAACGGAAAGGCCCUGCUUUUGUGGGGUGCUCGAGUGGCGAACGGGUGAGUAACACGUGAGUAACCUGCCCUUGACUUUGGGAUAACUUCAGGAAACUGGGGCUAAUACCGGAUAGGAGCUCCUGCUGCACGGUGGGGGUUGGAAAGUUUCGGCGGUUGGGGAUGGACUCGCGGCUUAUCAGCUUGUUGGUGGGGUAGUGGCUUACCAAGGCUUUGACGGGUAGCCGGCCUGAGAGGGUGACCGGCCACAUUGGGACUGCGAUACGGCCCAGACUCCUACGGGAGGCAGCAGUGGGGAAUAUUGCACAAUGGGCGGAAGCCUGAUGCAGCAGCGCCGCGUGCGGGAUGACGGCCUUCGGGCUGUAAACCGCUUUCGCCUGUGACGAAGCGUGAGUGACGGUAAUGGGUAAAGAAGCACCGGCUAACUACGUG
rnacentral:rRNA from 1 species